rnacentral:tRNA from 5 species
UCCCCCAUAGUUCAGUUGGUAGAACGCCGGACUGUUAAUCCGUAUGUCACUGGUUCGAGUCCAGUUGGGGGAGCCA